GUGGGGAAUCUUCCGCAAUGGACGAAAGUCUGACGGAGCGACGCCGCGUGAGUGAAGAAGGCCUUCGGGUCGUAAAGCUCUGUCAUCAGGGACGAACGGCCGGUGGAGUGGAAAGCCACCGGAUUGACGGUACCUGAGAAGGAAGCCACGGCUAACUACGUGCCAGCAGCCGCGGUAAUACGUAGGUGGCAAGCGUUGUCCGGAAUUAUUGGGCGUAAAGCGCGCGCAGGUGGGAUCUUAAGUCCAUUUUGAAAGUUCGGAGCUCAACUCCGUGAUGGGAUGGAAACUGGGAUUCUUGAGUACCGGAGAGGAAAGCGGAAUUCCCCGUGUAGCGGUGAAAUGCGUAGAUAUGGGGAGGAACACCAGUGGCGAAGGCGGCUUUCUGGACGGUGUCUGACACUGAGGCGCGAAAGCUAGGGGAGCGAACGGGAUUAGAAACCCCUGUAGUCC
rnacentral:rRNA from 1 species